rnacentral:lncRNA from 1 species
GUGCUAUGAAAUGUGUUACGAAGUGAUUUUGAUGCUUAUAACCAUAAAGGAAAAUAUGACUUUAACUCUGCCAGUCCAAAGUCCGGAUAAAAGAGGAUGAAUAGUCAUAAAAACCAAAUAUUGCAAAAGCGCAAAUGUCUUAUGUGAAAAGCGCAAAUGUCCUUUUUCAAAAAGCGCAAAUGUCUUAUGAUUUGAAGCGCAAGUGUCCAAAUAAAAAAGCGCAAAUGUCCUUUUUCAAAAAGCGCAAAUAUCUUAUGAUUUGAAGCGCAAGUGUCCAAAUAAAAAAGCGCAAAUGUCCUACGAAAAAGCGCAAACGUCCCGUGCCAAUUUCA